rnacentral:rRNA from 1 species
UACGGAAGGCAGCAGUGGGGAAUAUUGGACAAUGGGCGAAAGCCUGAUCCAGCCAUGCCGCAUGAGUGAAGAAGGCCUUCGGGUUGUAAAGCUCUUUUAGUGAGAAAGAUAAUGACGGUACUCACAGAAGAAGUCCUGGCUAACUCCGUGCCAGCAGCCGCGGUAAUACGGAGAGGGCUAGCGUUAUUCGGAAUUAUUGGGCGUAAAGAGCGCGUAGGCUGAUUUAGUAAGUUAAAAGUGAAAUCCCAAAGCUUAACUUUGGAAUUGCUUUUUAAAACUGCUAGUCUAGAGAUUGAAAGAGGAUAGAGGAAUUCCUAGUGUAGAGGUGAAAUUCGUAAAUAUUAGGAGGAACACCAGUGGCGAAGGCGUCUAUCUGGUUCAAAUCUGACGCUGAGGCGCGAAGGGCGUGGGGAGCAAACGAGGGAUUAGAUA